GCCGGAUAAGAAAAAGGGUGGGGUGGCACAAGAAUUUGUUGUUCUCUAAGUCUCAAUUUCAUCCCCAACAACUCAAAAAAGGCAUUGAAUUGCCCUUAAGACCUUCCUGUUCACUUGGCGCUGACAUGGCAAUGACUUAUAUUGUUAACCGAUCGCAACUGGCAGUUAUGCAAGGGGGAUUUCUGGAGUUGAAAGUUCUUCAGAUGCAGUAAGAACAGUUAAUUCCAAUUUGAUGUAUAUUAACAGAGGAUUUAAAGAUCCUGCCUCCUAGGAAAUUUGUUUUUUUAUUUUAAUAAGUUGUUUGUUUAUUGUUUUCUAAGUUAGAAUAUUAUUAGUGCUCCAAUUUAGUUU